AAGGAGUCUAACAUCUAUGCGAGUGUUUGGGUGUCAAACCCCUACGCAUAAUGAAAGUGAACGGAGGUGAGAACCGCAAGGUGCAUCAUCGACCGAUCCUGAUGUCUUCGGAUGGAUUUGAGUAUGAGCAUAGCUGUUGGGACCCGAAAGAUGGUGAACUAUGCCUGAAUAGGGUGAAGCCAGAGGAAACUCUGGUGGAGGCUCGCAGCGGUUCUGACGUGCAAAUCGAUCGUCAAGUUUGGGUAUAGGGGCGAAAGACUAAUCGAACCAUCUAGUAGCUGGUUCCUGC
rnacentral:misc_RNA from 1 species